AACGAACGCUGGCGGCAUGCCUAACACAUGCAAGUCGAACGAGAUCUUCGGGUCUAGUGGCGCACGGGUGCGUAACGCGUGGGAAUCUGCCCUUUGGUUCGGAAUAACAGUUGGAAACGACUGCUAAUACCGGAUGAUGACGAAAGUCCAAAGAUUUAUCGCCAGAGGAUGAGCCCGCGUAGGAUUAGCUAGUUGGUGUGGUAAAGGCGCACCAAGGCGACGAUCCUUAGCUGGUCUGAGAGGAUGAUCAGCCACACUGGGACUGAGACACGGCCCAGACUCCUACGGGAGGCAGCAGUGGGGAGUAUUGGACAAUGGGCGAAAGCCUGAUCCAGCAAUGCCGCGUGAGUGAUGAAGGCCUUAGGGUUGUAAAGCUCUUUUACCCGGGAUGAUAAUGACAGUACCAGGAGAAUAAGCUCCGGCUAACUCCGUGCCAGCCGCCGCGGUAAUAC
rnacentral:rRNA from 1 species